CAGAUCCACCUGCAAGUAGUUAAUUGCCUACUUGGCUGCGCAGCAAUUAAUUAGCUAAGGAACACCCACGCGGCUUAAUAAAGGGUUAUGAGGCUUCAGACAGAGUUCCAAAAGACAGGAAGGAAACUCCAACUGAGAAGGAAUUCUCAGGGAAGCUAUUUAGGGAGCUCACCAGUAAAGGGGACCGAGGAAAGGUACUCCUAAACCAGAGAGGUUCUGAAAGGGGAGCACACUAAGAGAGCCAAGUCCCUAAGGAAAAGGACUUUACUAAACAGCAGCAGGUUGUCCGGAUCACAGAGGAACUACAUGCCACUCUGGAGAAGAGCUGCAGUGGUUUGAGCACUGAGAAGGAAUCCUUCCCCAGGUGAUGGAUGGAUUCUUUCCCCUUCACAACAGAGUUGCAGAAAGUGGGUCCUGGAACACUGGUGGGAAAGGCAGUCUCAAGAAGGUCCCUCAGCCCUCCAGCAAUCUGGCAAAGUGGCUCAAAAGAGCUGAGCACGACAAAGCGACUUUGCAUUCAGCAAAUAUUAUACUUUAGAAAUUCAGGUCAUUUGCUCCGACAGUGCUGACAGCAAGUAGAGAACCAGUGGAGUUAUGACUUCACAGGAACCUCCAUUUCCGGAGAGCCCUACAGGAAACUCUGCUUGCACCAUGAAGAGACAGAAGACUGGGGUUCUAGUGUCUGCAGUACUUCUAAAGCACAAGCAGGAGGAGCUACUUGGCAAGAAGAAAAUAACCAUAAGAAGUAUUACCUCCAUGUAUGAGAAUGAUACAGAUAAACCAAACAGUAUUCUUAACUGACAUAGCAGCAAUAUCUAUGCCAGAGGGGAGGGGAAGAAAUAAUAUGUUGGAUAUCACUACAAAAGAUUAUAAGUAGAGAACAAGAGAAUACCUAGAGCAAGGAAAAAGUUAUAUAAAGAAACAAGAUGUCAGCACAGAGAAUCCUUGACGUGGCUCUUGACAGAGGAAGAAAAGCAGGUGGGAUUUUUACCCACACCUCAGAGCAUUCUCCCUUUCAUGUAGGCAGGGCCUAGAGACAGCAGCCCUAGCUAGCUCCACAGUAACUUCCUGGCAACAGGAUAAUCCUAGGACUAGACAGAAAGUUGUAUCCAAGCAUACCUCCCAAGAUUUCUAGUGGCUAAAGUGGAACAAGUCUUGCCCUCAGUGGGUGGCAAGCCUGGCGGGUGGGGAGAGAAAAAGUUGCAGAGCAAGCCUGCCCACAGCCAUCUGUGAGGGAUACAAGCCACUACUACUCAUAGCAGUGACUCCUGUCCCUCAUGGAUGGCUGGGCUCAGCUUCCCACUCUGGGCAUCACUCCCUGGACCCUGGUGCAUGGAGUCAUAGUGCUGCUAACUCAAAUUUGGACUGGCCAUCCCCCAUCGGGGGCCAGCUCAACUCUGAGUGGCACUGCUACCCCGCUUGCCAGGGCCAGGUCUCAAUGUCCAGAAUGGGGAGCCGAGGCCAGCCAGCCCGCCCUUCAAAGGGGACAGGAGCUUUUGUGGCCAGUCCUGCAAAACCUGGGACUGCUGGAAGGUUAUUAUAGAAUCUUAGAAGGUUAGGGUUGGAAGGGACCUCAGGAGGUCAUCUAGUCCAACCCCCUGCUUGAAGCAGGACCAAUCCCCAAUUUUUGCCCCAGAUCCCUAAAUGGCCCCCUCAAGGACUGAACUCACAACUCUGGGUUUAGCAGGCCAAUGCUCAAACCAGAGCUAUCCCUCCCCCCAUCAAAGGUUAAGAGUAGAAAGCAGGAACAGUCAGUGCAGAGAGAGCUAGAAUGAUUAUGCAGGUCACCCUAGUGAUGUCUCUUCCUGUCUGGGCUGGGUCUGAAGCCAGCUGGAGAACUGCAGCAGCAAGUGCCCAGAGCAGCAUGUGCCAACAUCUACAACUCUGAUAUUCUGUUCUUUAUGGACAACUUUAGCACAUUCAUUUCGUCCUCCAAUUUUGGGACUACAAAAACAAGGCCUAUCGAGCAUUACAGAUUUGUAUUACUGAUCUGGAAGUUUAUUCAAUCAGGACAUGAUUUCAUAUCUUCUCUACACAUUUAUAUAACGAACCAAUUGAAAUCUGAUAAUGUUAAAGAGGCAUUUGCUGGAAGAUCAAAGUAAGCCUAUUCAGGAGGGUAAAUCUCAUGUAAUGACAAAUAUACUAGUGUUAAUCUUAAUUACAUACAUGUACAGUUAAACAAAGACUGAUAUAAAGAGACAGCUUUCAAAGCACUAGGUAUUAUCACAGUUUGCUUCCUGUAGUACUGUAAUUCAAUUUUUCCUGUAUUAAAAAUGGAAGAGCAAGCUUAUUUAAUAAUACAGCUGACUUAAGGGAGUGGUGGGGGAAGAGACAGACUUUAAAAUGUACUGGACUACUCAGAAGUUUAAAAUAAUUUGUAUAAGGCUAUUUUCCUUUUGCAUAUCUGCAAUCUAGAUCAUAAAGUUUUAUUUGUUCCAAAGCUAAUACACUGAAAUAACAGACCCUGGUGUUAUAAAUUACUAGUUCCCCAUUUUUCCUGAAUUUGAGAGGUGAUAUUUCCUUACCUUUCAC